AUUGAACGCUGGCGGCAGGCCUAACACAUGCAAGUCGAGCGGAUGAAGGGAGCUUGCUCCUGGAUUCAGCGGCGGACGGGUGAGUAAUGCCUAGGAAUCUGCCUGGUAGUGGGGGAUAACGUCCGGAAACGGGCGCUAAUACCGCCUACUUCCUGCUGGAGCAAGUGGGGGAUCUUCGGACCUCACGCUAUCAGAUGAGCCUAGGUGGGAGUAGCUAGUUGGUGGGGUAAAGGCCUACCAAGCCGACGAUCCGUAACUGGUCUGUGAGGAUGAUCAGUCACACUGGAAGUGGGACACGGACCAGACUCCUACGGGAGGGAGCAGAGGGGAAUGUUGGACAGUGGGCGAAAGUCUGAUACAGCCAGGGCGAGUGUGUGAAGAAGGUCUUCGGAUUGUAAAGCACGUUAACUUGGGAGGAACGGCAGUAAGUUGAGACGUUGCUGUAUUGACGGUACCGGCAGAAUAAGCACCGGCUAACUACGUG
rnacentral:rRNA from 1 species